rnacentral:sRNA from 2 species
UUAAUCUUAAGGCUUAAUUUCCGGUAUAGCCGGAAAGCGGGGGAACCAAAUUUCAGGGGCGAGUCGGUCCGAAAGGGCCAUAGGGAUCCAUCUAUCCCGAGCCCGUCAGCUAACCUCGUCAGUCGUUAGGUGGGUCAAC